rnacentral:rRNA from 1 species
GAUAGAGGGUGCAAACGUUGUUCGGAAUUACUGGGCGUAAAGCGCGUGUAGGCGGCCAUGCAAGUCGGAUGUGAAAGCCCACGGCUCAAUCGUGGAAGAGCACCUGAAACUGCGUGGCUAGAGUUCUGGAGAGGAAGGUGGAACGCUUGGUGUAGAGGUGAAAUUCGUAGAUAUCGGGAGGAACACCAGCGGCGAAGGCGGCCACCUGGACGGAUACUGACGCUGAGACGCGAAAGCGUGGGGAGCAAACGGG